rnacentral:rRNA from 1 species
GACGAACGCUGGCGGCGUGCUUAACACAUGCAAGUCGAACGGAAAGGCCCUGCUUUUGUGGGGUGCUCGAGUGGCGAACGGGUGAGUAACACGUGAGUAACCUGCCCUUGACUUUGGGAUAACUUCAGGAAACUGGGGCUAAUACCGGAUAGGAGCUCCUGCUGCAUGGUGGGGGUUGGAAAGUUUCGGCGGUUGGGGAUGGACUCGCGGCUUAUCAGCUUGUUGGUGGGGUAGUGGCUUACCAAGGCGUUGACGGGUAGCCGACCUGAGAGGGUGACCGGCCACACUGGAGCGUGAACACGCACCUUGCGACUGCGGGAGGGACCAGUAUCGAACGUGACGCAGCAGGCGGGAACAUUACGGAGUGGGCGCGCGCGUGUUGCAGCAAUCCUGGGUGCGGAAUACCGGCCUAUGGGUUAUAAACCAAUUUGUAAUGUGCCGAAGAGUGCUUGACGGUACCGAGUCAAGAAGCCACGGCUAACUACGUG